GUUUGUAAGAGUGAGGCGUGAAGGUGUCACAUCAGCUCUUUAGCUUCACAGUAGAGCAAUCAAGGACAGAAAAUGUGGUUUGUUGAUAGUUGAGUGCCAAGCGAUCGCACUCUGACCCCCAUGCCCCAGCUUCUAGUCCUCUUUGUUUUUAAAUGUGUGGAUCCGCCCCUGCCUGCGUGUCUCAGUUUUCUCUUUUAAAAAUGCACAGCUUCAUGAUUGCCUGAUAUUUCGUUCUCGUUUAACAGACCUAAAGGCACUGUGGAGCCUUAGACAAAGGAGACGGCUCAUUUACAAGGCCACAUAGAUAACGGGGGACUUCAAGAAAGGGAUUACAGCAGGGUUAAAGAGAAAGUCUUGAACUUCUACAAAUGCAUUGAAUGGAAACACUGCUGGAGUUUUCCAGCACGAUCGCCUUGUUACGUUCCAAAGCAGCUUCUUCGCCUUCAACAUGAGAGCCAGGUUGUUGCUUCGCUGUUUGCUGAUCUGCUCUGCCUGUUUCCUGGUGGUCUUUCCACACAUUGUGAUGGAGGAGAAGACUCCUGGUAAUGACUCCUGCGAACCCAGCAAACGAGAAGAGAAGCAGUCAGAGACCCCAGCAGUGCUGAUUGUAGAUAACAAGGACCGCUCCACCUCAACCACAGCAUUCCUAAUACACUGCAUUGAAUCAUUACAGAUAACAAGGACCGCUCCACCUCAACCACAGCAUUCCUAAUACACUGCAUUGAAUCAUUACAGAUAACAAGGACCGCUCCACCUCAACCACAGCAUUCCUAAU